UCCACGGUAGCUCAAUGGUGGAGCACUCGGCUGUUAACCGAUAGGCUGGAGGUUCGAGUCCUCUCCGUGGAGCCA
rnacentral:tRNA from 1 species